CUUACUUGGCAGCUGACUAGGAUGAAAACAUGAAUUUUUAAAUCAUGGGACCCUUAAAAUAAAAAUAUAUUCUAAUUGCAAUUAUGUGAGCCCCACAAUUUAAAAAAAAAAUGUUUUUUUCCUACUCAGCUGCCGUGUAAGCACCUCCAACUUCAAUUUUGACAAUGGCAGAAAUAUACAUCUGACCUUUAAAGUUGGGG
rnacentral:misc_RNA from 1 species